GACGAACGCUGGCGGCCGUGCUUAACCACAUGCAAGUCGAACGAAGAGCGAUGGAAGCUUGCUUCUAUCAAUCUUAGUGGCGAACGGGUGAGUAACGCGUAAUCAACCUGCCCUUCAGAGGGGGACAACAGUUGGAAACGACUGCUAAUACCGCAUACGAUCUAAUCUCGGCAUCGAGGAUAGAUGAAAGGUGGCCUCUACAUGUAAGCUAUCACUGAAGGAGGGGAUUGCGUCUGAUUAGCUAGUUGGAGGGGUAACGGCCCACCAAGGCGAUGAUCAGUAGCCGGUCUGAGAGGAUGAACGGCCACAUUGGGACUGAGACACGGCCCAGACUCCUACGGGAGGCAGCAGUGGGGAAUCUUCCGCAAUGGACGAAAGUCUGACGGAGCAACGCCGCGUGAGUGAUGACGGCCUUCGGGUUGUAAAGCUCUGUUAAUCGGGACGAAAGGCCUUCUUGCGAAUAGUGAGAAGGAUUGACGGUACCGGAAUAGAAAGCCACGG
rnacentral:rRNA from 1 species